rnacentral:ncRNA from 1 species
CCUGUUGAGCUUGACUAGUCUGGCGCUGUGAAGAGACAUCAGAGGUGUAGAAUAAAUGGGAAGCCCCACAGUUGUGCAACACAGGCCAUGGUCCAGUUGCCGGUGAAAUACUGCUGAUCAUUUUUUCCAGUUACCAAUGAGGUGUUGAGGGUGUGAGCCCCAAAGGGCUCUCACUUUUGAUGCCAAGUGCCUGGUAUGACCUGCUCCAGGGACAGUGUCCAUGAGCAGUUUGAUUGGGGCAGCACACCACCAAACCAUAACACAGGUGUCCUAAGCCGAGCUCAGGGAGGACAGAAACCUCCCACGGAGCAGAAGAUUCAAGGCUUGAUCUUGAUUUUCAGUACAAAUAUCGUCCAUGAAAGUAAGACCUUAAAUCCUUCUGACUUUUUGGGUUUCAAGCAGGCAUCCAGGAGCCAGUGGAUGAGGAAUUCCAGG